rnacentral:rRNA from 1 species
CUUUGCUGGCGACCGGCGCACGGGUGAGUAACACGUAUCCAACCUGCCCUUUACUCGGGGAUAGCCUUUCGAAAGAAAGAUUAAUACCCGAUAGUAUAAUGAUUCCGCAUGGUUUCAUUAUUAAAGGAUUCCGGUAAAGGAUGGGGAUGCGUUCCAUUAGGUUGUUGGUGAGGCAACGGCUCACCAAGCCUUCGAUGGAUAGGGGUUCUGAGAGGAAGGUCCCCCACAUUGGAACUGAGACACGGUCCAAACUCCUACGGGAGGCAGCAUG